rnacentral:rRNA from 1 species
UAUUGCACAAUGGGGGGAACCCUGAUGCAGCGACGCCGCGUGAGGGAAGACGGUUUUCGGAUNGUAAACCUCUGUCUUUAGGGACNNAANNNANGACGGUACCUACAGAGGAAGCCACGGCUAACUCCGUNNNANCNGCCGCGGUAAUCCGUAUGUGGCAAGCGUUGUCCGGAAUUACUGGGUGUAAAGGGAGCGUAGGCGGGAAUGCAAGUUGAAUGUUUAAACUAUGGGCUCAACCCAUAGUCGCGUUCAAAGCUGCAUUUCUUGAGUGGAGUAGAGGCAGGCGGAAUUCCUAGUGUAGCGGUGAAAUGCGUAGAUAUUAGGGGGAACACCAGUGGCGAAGGCGGCCUGCUGGGCUCUAACUGACGCUGAGGCUCGAAAGCGUGGGUAGCAAACAGG